rnacentral:rRNA from 1 species
AUUGAACGCUGGCGGCAUGCCUUAUACAUGCAAGUCGAACGGUAACAGGUCUUCGGAUGCUGACGAGUGGCGAACGGGUGAGUAAUACAUCGGAACGUGCCCGAUCGUGGGGGAUAACGGAGCGAAAGCUUUGCUAAUACCGCAUGCGAUCUACGGAUGAAAGCAGGGGACCGCAAGGCCUUGCGCGGACGGAGCGGCCGAUGGCAGAUUAGGUAGUUGGUGGGAUAAAAGCUUACCAAGCCGACGAUCUGUAGCUGGUCUGAGAGGACGACCAGCCACACUGGGACUGAGUCACGGCCCAGACUCCUACGGGAGGCAGCAGUGGGGAAUUUUGGACAAUGGGCGAAAGCCUGAUCCAGCCAUGCCGCGUGCAGGAUGAAGGCCUUCGGGUUGUAAACUGCUUUUGUACGGAACGAAAAGACUCCUUCUAAUAAAGGGGGUCCAUGACGGUACCGUAAGAAUAAGCACCGGCUAACUACGUGCCAGCCGCCGCCGUAAUAC